rnacentral:rRNA from 1 species
UACGUAGGGUGCAAGCGUUUGUCCGGAAUUAUUGGGCGUAAAGAGCUCGUAGGCGGUUUGUCGCGUCUGCUGUGAAAACCCGAGGCUCAACCCCCGAGCCUGCAGUGGAUACGGGGCAGACUAGAGGUAGGUAGGGGGAGAAUGGAAUUCCCCGGUGUAGCGGUGAAAUGCGCAGAUAUCGGGAGGAACACCGGUGGCGAAGGCGGUUCUCUGGGCCUUACCUGCGCUGAGGAGCGAAAGCGUGGGGAGCGAACAGG